rnacentral:rRNA from 1 species
CCUACGGGAGGCAGCAGUGAGGAAUAUUGGUCAAUGGACGAGAGUCUGAACCAGCCAAGCAGCGUGAAGGAUGACUGCCCUCUGGGUUUUAAACUUCUUUUAUAUGGGAGUAAAAUGUUCCACGUGUGGGAUUUUGUAUGUACCAUAUGAAUAAGGAUCGGCUAACUCCGUGCCAGCAGCCGCGGUAAUACGGAGGGUCCUAGCGUUAUCCGGAUUUAUUGGGUUUAAAGGGAGCGUAGGUGGAUUGUUAAGUCAGUUGUGAAAGUUUGCGGCUCAACCGUAAAAUUGCAGUUGAAACUGGCAGUCUUGAGUACAGUAGAGGUGGGCGGAAUUCGUGGUGUAGCGGUGAAAUGCUUAGAUAUCACGAAGAACUCCGAUUGCGAAGGCAGCUCACUGGACUGCAAAUGACACUGAGGCUCGAAAGUGUGGGUAGCAAACAGGAUUAGAUACCCCAGUAGUC